UGUAUCAAAUACUUGUUCUCCCCACUGUAUAUAUUUGAAGAACGUAACAUAUCAUACAAAAUGMAUGACGUGGUACACAAUUUGAUGACAUAGUACACAGAAAACAGGGACCACUUUUGGCUCGUGAGCACCACUUUCAAAACUGCUAGCUGAAAUUAUACAAAAGCCUCAGAGUGCAUCUUUAAGAAACAUUCAAAUUAGUACCCAAAUGAGCUUCAGGGACCUGUGGGAACCUGCUGUAAAUUCAUGUUGGCCUGGACCACUUUUAUUACAAUAUGUAAAAUAAUAUUUUCAAUUUACUUAUGGCAUGUAAUUUUGAUAGAUAGGUUUAUGUAUGAAAUAUAUUGUUUACAUGAGUUUACAAUUCCAUAUACUAUUACUCUUCGUGAUUAUGCAAGGGGUAUUUUUAUAUUUUUCAUUAUUUGUACAGUCAUUCUUUAUGAGUCUGUUUCUUGUGUUACCGUAUUAGGCCCCCAUCCCAAUUCAGAGGGCAGAAGAACCCACCAUUCCAGCCCAAACAGAGACAGAGGGGUGCGAGGCCAUUCGUCCUAAACAGAGCGGACCAAGGUUAAGGAGGCCACAGUAAUGGACUGAUUCAGUCCAUCAGGGGCAGGGGGUGGGAUGUCCCUCCAGGCUAAAGGCAUCCCUCUCAGAUUUAACUUCAAAGCCACUAUAAAUCAGACAGGAGUGACCCUCAAUGAUCGCUUCACUGGUAUGAGGAUCAGGGCAGGCCCAGGACAGGGUCCACAGAGGUGCAGUGGCGGGGAAGAGGCAGAGGCCGAGUAGGCCGGAUUGUCAUCCUGCAGUGAUCACUGUUGAGGACCCUUGUGCUUUCUGUAGCCUAUAUCAAAAGCAUCUCAUUAAUCACAUUCUUAACCCUUCCGAUAGGCUUACAUUUAACACUUUAAAAACUCAACAUCAUUGAAAAUAGUCUUCAGUGUUCCACCACUAGUCAAUUUAAAAAUGUUUGCUUUCUCUUUACAGAUUUACUGAACAUCAACUUGUUUGACUGUAAUCUUAAAGCACUAACGCAGUUACUGUACAUGCGAAGAAAUUCGGCUUGUCACCAAAAGCACUCACAAACCUUUACAGAUGCACAAUCGAGAGCAUCCUGUCGGGCUGUA